AACCCAUGGUGAGGGCACAUUCUCAACAGAUCCUUGUAUCUCUCCCAUGUAUCUAGUAUGUUUCUAGAUCCAUUUGCACAAAAGAAGAGAUAUCAUUCCUUAAUUU
rfam:Gossypium arboreum cultivar AKA8401 contig_119688_1, whole genome shotgun sequence.